AUCUCUGACCCCCACCGCGACCCUCAGAACCCCCUCUGUUUCCAACCAUCACUGAUGGCCUCUCCUUCUAUCUUUUUCAUGUUAUCUGCACUUUCCUUCACACAUGGAUCUGAUCAAUUUUAUAACUGUAAUAUUUUCUUCUGUCAUAUUGCGAUUUCUUCGAUUUGGCUGUAAAUUUGAAAAAAUUGUGUAUCUUUUGUUUGUGAGGUCGUAUUGUUUGGCUGUUAAAACCCUCUGCCAACCUCAUCUCUCAGCUCCUGCAGUUUGCUUCAACAAGGAAUGAAACAAAUAAUAAUAAGCCCGGAAACAUCUAAAGCUAAAGCAUUAGAGAAGGUGGAGGAUAAGUCCAAAGUUGCCAGGGUAUACCAAAUUUCCUAUGCAAGAUUAAUUGUUUGUUGUUUUCUUACAGAUUAAUUGUUCCAUAGUUUUCUUACAGAUAAUAUGUAAUUCAUGCUGUAGUGCUAAAAAUGUUCUUUGAUGAUUAUUUAGGCAUUGAAGGAAAGUGUUCUCCAUCAAAUAUGUGAGGCAAAGCCAUUGGCUCUGAUCAUUGAUUGGAAUUCACUCAUGUCUAACAAAAAGAAGAGAACUGUGAUGUAUUUCUUUGUAUUUUGCUGCUGAGUUAACUGACUAAUUUUUGUUCAAGCUGAUUUACUUAGCAACUUGGAUAAUUACUGCUUACUCAUUUCCUUUGCAAUUUGGGCUUUUGUUAAUUGUUCUUAUACCCUUUACUAAUAUUUGUGUAUGUUGUUAUUAAUUGCAGGCACAUACUAUACUAGAUUUCCCAACUUUCUUGCUUGUUAGCUCAAUAGAAAAUAGUUGAUUGAGCCUUCAAACAUUUAAAACCAAUUGCAGGUGCUUGGCAGCAAAGG